rnacentral:rRNA from 1 species
UACGGAGGAUGCGAGCGUUAUCCGGAUUUAUUGGGUUUAAAGGGUGCGUAGGCGGCCGAGUAAGUCAGCGGUGAAAUUUUGCAGCUUAACUGUAACAGUGCCGUUGAUACUGCAUGGCUAGGAUUUGGUUGCUGUGGGUGGAAUGUGUGGUGUAGCGGUGAAAUGCUUAGAUAUCACACAGAAUAUCGAUUGCGAAGGCAGCUCACAAAGCCAAGAUUGACGCUGAGGCUCGAAAGCGUGGGGAGCAAA